GAUAGUCUUUUGGACAAAUAUUUGUCACAACAUCGAGGACCUUCUUGCCUACUCCAACUUAUCUUCCCAGCAAACAUGAAUUUCAACUCUAACUUGUAAUCUCAAUCCACCAUUUUCAUUCUCAAUCCUUAACAAUGCUAUCCCUAAAACCACCUUCUUCCACUUCCUCCCUUUCUCCUUCUUCCAACCCAUUUCUCUUCAAACCCCUCUUUAAACCCUACUUUCCUCAAAAACCAUAUUUUCCAACCAUCAAAUCAAUCCUUCAAUACAAUCGAAAACCCCAAUUUUCCGGCACUUCUCCACGAGUUGUCGUCAUUACUUCCGGUAAAGGAGGCGUCGGAAAAACUACCACCACUGCAAAUAUCGGCAUUUCACUUGCCCGCCAUGGAUUUUCCGUAGUUGCAAUUGACGCUGAUGUGGGUCUUCGGAAUCUGGAUCUGCUUCUGGGUCUUGAAAAUCGUGUCAAUUAUACAGCUCUUGAAGUUCUUAAUGGCGAUUGUAGACUUGAUCAAGCAUUAGUUAGGGAUAAACGAUGGUCACACUUUGAGCUUCUUUGUAUUUCUAAACCUAGGUCUAAAUUACCAUUAGGGUUUGGGGGAAAAGCCCUAAUUUGGCUUGUUGAUGCAUUAAAACAUAGAGAUGAAGGUUGUCCUGAUUUCAUUUUGAUUGAUUGUCCUGCUGGAAUUGAUGCUGGGUUUAUUACUGCUAUCACACCUGCAAAUGAGGCGAUUUUGGUUACCACACCGGAUAUUACGGCAUUGAGGGAUGCUGAUAGGGUUAUUGGAUUGCUGGAAUGUGAUGGAAUUAAGGAUAUCAAGAUGAUGGUUAAUAGGGUUAGGACUGAUAUGAUUAAAGGGGAGGAUAUGAUGUCGGUUUUGGAUGUUCAAGAAAUGCUAGGCUUGGCACUUUUAGGGGUUAUUCCGGAUGAUUCAGAGGUUAUUCGUAGCACGAAUCGUGGGUAUCCUUUGGUUUUGAAUCGGCCUCCUACAUUGGCCGGGUUAGCAUUCGAGCAAGCUGCUUGGAGGCUUGUAGAACAGGAUAGUAUGACCGCGGUUAUGGUUGAAGAACAGCCUAAGAAACGUGGGUUCUUUUCGUUAUUUGGUGGAUGACCUGAGUCCUGAACAAUGUAGUUAUAAAUGAGGAUACUUUGAGAGCAAGUUGGGAUUUUGUGUACAGAUGCUAGGAUGAAGCAAAUUUGGACAAUUUAGUUAUAAUCGAGGAUACUUUUGAAGAACUUGGGAUUGUGCUCAGAUGUUAGGUAUGGGAUUAUUUGGUGAUUGAACAACUAUAUAAUACUAUGAAUUUAACGAUCCAAGAAGAUACAUGUCGAGGUUUAUUAUAUUUUCGAUUUAUGCUUGAAUGUGAGAUGAGGAAACCUGAGUGGAACAAUGUAGGUAGCAAACUGUUUAGCCAGUGCCUGCUUGACGUGUCCAGAUUUUUCACUUAAUUUGUGGAUUUUGGCACAAUUGAAGGAUAGAAUGUUCGAAAAUGCUUUGAUUGUUUUUCUUCAUCUUAAGUUACUGGGACUGAGGCUAAUUUUGCACCCACUGCACGUUCAAAUUAACUUCAGGUUGCGUACAUCCGAUUCUCAUCCCAAGCAGCCCUACCUAAGUGAGAGCCAUUGAUUGACAUCGGAAUAAUGAAAUGUUAUAGGAUCCCUUUAUCAACUAUUCGUAAAUACCUAAAACGAGUUUGUUAUAGGUCAUUUUAUUAACCAUUUAUUUUAGUCAGUUGUUAACAGUGGUGGAAUUAGGAAAAAGAGAGCAAAUAAAACCAUCAAAUGCGAGAUGGAUCUCGUACACAAUAUCAAGAAUAUCAUCUUGAAAGCCAUUCAUAUUAGCAUAUACAUUCUCUUUGUUAAUAAUUUUUGUUGUAGACCAUUGAAGGUCUAGA